rnacentral:rRNA from 1 species
UUUUUCUCCGUUGGUGAACCAGCGGAAGGGAUCAUUA